GCUCAACUUUGAAAUCUGGCAGCUUCGGCUGUCCGAGUUGUAGUCUCGAGAAGCGUUUUCCGUGCUGAAGCAUGCAUGAGUCUGUUGGAAUACAGCGCCAUAGAGGGUGAGAGCCCCGUCUGCGGCAUGCCUUUCAGUGCUUUGUGAUACGCUUUCGAUGAGUCGAGUUGUUUGGGAAUGCAGCUCAAAUUGGGUGGUAAAUUCCAUCUAAAGCUAAAUAUUGGCGGGAGACCGAUAGCAAACAAGUACCGUGAGGGAAAGAUGAAAAGCACUUUGGAAAGAGAGUUAAAAGUACGUGAAAUUGUCGAAAGGGAAACGAUUGAAGUCGGACGUGCAGGGCAACCUGCAGGCCAACAUCGGUUCGGUUAGUCGGAUAAAGGUAGAGGGAAGGUAGCAGUCUCGGCUGUGUUAUAGCCCUCUACUGAAUACGGAUAGCUGGACCGAGGACCGCAGCGCAAGCUUAGG
rnacentral:rRNA from 1 species